UGACAGCUGUCCUUCAUGACAACAGAAGACACAGAAAUGGUCCUCAUCAAAAACAUGACUUUGACCUGCGUCCUCAUCUGGACUCUCCUCUGCUGCUGCUUCACAGAGUCCAGAGGUCAGGUCACAGUGACUCAGCCUGGAGCAGUGAGAUCUGCUGUGGGAUGCUCUGUCUCCAUCACAUGUAGGACCAGUCAGGAUAUUUAUGGUGGGAACUACUUUCACUGGUACCAACAGAGAGACGGAGAAGCCCCUAAAAUGCUUAUUUCUUAUACCAGCACUCGAGUAUCAGGGAUUCCAGAUCGUUUUUCAGGCAGAGGAUCAAACUCUGACUUCACUCUGACCAUCAGUGGAGUUCAGACUGAAGAUGCAGCAGUUUAUUACUGUCUGAGUGGUCAUUAUAUCGGCAGUCAGUGGCUGUUCACACAGUGAAAAAGCGUCGUACAAAAACCUCCCUCAGUCAGACUGAACAGAAACUGAAGUGACAGCUGCAGCUGGAAGCUACUGCAGAGACUGAUACACUUCACUGACACACACACACAC